rnacentral:lncRNA from 1 species
UCCUCCACUGUUUUGGGAAACGUCACCUUCUUAUCUUGGAAGAGUAAUCUCAAAAUUGAAGCAUCUUAGAUCCAACAAGAAUUAAAAGGAUGGGAAGUCCUUGCAGCCAUCCAAUAGAGUCAGAAGACUUUGGAUUUUGGAGUCUGUGAGAUCAGGUUCCUGCUUGGAAGUAAAGAACCAACGAGAAGGCAGGGAGCAAGGAACUGCCUUUUCCAAGGAGACCCAGGCUGCUUGGCACCUGCGCCUGCAGAGGCUCUUAUCCACCUGCUGCCCCAGGCCUUGCCUAACUGAAGGGGCCAACACUAUCUGUCUGCCUCAAGAGGGGAUCAGGGCAGAGUCCUCACAUUUUUUAUGAGAAAAACGUCCCUUAGCAUGUCUG